rnacentral:rRNA from 1 species
AAUUGACCUUCCGAGGUGGGCGAACGGGUGAGUAACACGUGGGUGAUCUGCCCUGCACUUCGGGAUAAGCCUGGGAAACUGGGUCUAAUACCGGAUAGGACCACGGGAUGCAUGUCUUGUGGUGGAAAGCGCUUUAGCGGUGUGGGAUGAGCCCGCGGCCUAUCAGCUUGUUGGUGGGGUGACGGCCUACCAAGGCGACGACGGGUAGCCGGCCUGAGAGGGUGUCCGGCCACACUGGGACUGAGAUACGGCCCAGACUCCUACGGGAGGCAGCAGUGGGGAAUAUUGCACAAUGGGCGCAAGCCUGAUGCAGCGACGCCGCGUGGGGGAUGACGGCCUUCGGGUUGUAAACCUCUUUCACCAUCGACGAAGGUCCGGGUUCUCUCGGAUUGACGGUAGGUGGAGAAGAAGCACCGGCCAACUACGUGCCAGCAGCCGCGGUAAUACGUAGGGUGCGAGCGUUGUCCGGAAUUACUGGGCGUAAAGAGCUCGUAGGUGGUUUGUCGCGUUGUUCGUGAAAUCUCACGGCUUAACUGUGAGCGUGCGGGCGAUACGGGCAGACUAGAGUACUGCAGGGGAGACUGGAAUUCCUGGUGUAGCGGUGGAAUGCGCAGAUAUCAGGAGGAACACCGGUGGCGAAGGCGGGUCUCUGGGCAGUAACUGACGCUGAGGAGCGAAAGCGUGGGGAGCGAACAGGAUUAGAUACCCUGGUAGUCCACGCCGUAAACGGUGGGUACUAGGUGUGGGUUUCCUUCCUUGGGAUCCGUGCCGUAGCUAACGCAUUAAGUACCCCGCCUGGGGAGUACGGCCGCAAGGCUAAAACUCAAAGGAAUUGACGGGGCCCGCACAGCGCGAGCAUGUGAUUAUUCGAUGCACGCGAGACUACUGGUGUUUUUU